CAAAACACAAAACAGUUUGACCUGAAAAAAAGCCUUCAGUCACUCAUUUAUUUCACAAAUAUUAUUGGCUUCUCUUAUGUGCCAAGCAUACUGGAUGCUAGGAAUGUAAUUAUGGGCCCAAAUGUGCUCACUCAUCAAACAGAUAUUUUGGGGGACUCCUACUGCAUGUCAGAUACUCUGCUGGACUGCUAUCCAGGCACACCUUGGUUUACAGCGUUUUGAAGAUACUGCGGUUUUUUAUAAAUGAAAGUUUCGAUGUAUCCUGCAUUUUUCCGAACUUGCCACUACCAUGUAAUCUAAGGAAAAACUGAACUUGGCUGAGUUCAGGACAAGAUGGAAAUGCUAUUAAUAGGAUUUGAGUUGCCUGCGCAGUGCAGCACCACACACUCAGCAAUCAGCAACAGUAGCUGCUGCAUUCAUGGCAAUUCUACAUACAGGAUUAUUUGUCAUUUAUCCUCUGUGUCCUAUUUCUCAUUUAUACUGCAGUUAUGUAUGUG
ensembl:lncRNA